GAUGAACGCUGGCGGCGUGCCUAAUACAUGCAAGUAGAACGCUGAAGCUUGGUGCUUGCACCGAGCGGAUGAGUUGCGAACGGGUGAGUAACGCGUAGGUAACCUGCCUCUUAGCGGGGGAUAACUAUUGGAAACGAUAGCUAAUACCGCAUAAAAGUCGAUAUCGCAUGAUAUUGAUUUGAAAGGUGCAAAUGCAUCACUAAGAGAUGGACCUGCGUUGUAUUAGCUAGUUGGUGAGGUAACGGCUCACCAAGGCGACGAUACAUAGCCGACCUGAGAGGGUGAUCGGCCACACUGGGACUGAGACACGGCCCAGACUCCUACGGGAGGCAGCAGUAGGGAAUCUUCGGCAAUGGGGGCAACCCUGACCGAGCAACGCCGCGUGAGUGAAGAAGGUUUUCGGAUCGUAAAGCUCUGUUGUAAGAGAAGAACGAGUGUGAGAGUGGAAAGUUCACACUGUGACGGUACUUACCAGAAAGG
rnacentral:rRNA from 1 species